AUUCAAACAGCCAAACUAAAAUCUUUCUCCUAACAGUUCUGCUUCUGGUGACCUUAAACAUCUACAUUAUUCUAAAGGAAAUCUCCAAAGGAGUAUUUAAAACAGCAGCAUCUUGGGGCAGUCUCCAAGAAAGAUAGAAGGAACCUCAGCAUUCUCAAUUUCAGGUCUUCCUACUGACCUUGGCUUAGAUGGCUUCCCAAUGACUGGUAACAUGCAGGGCUGAUGUAGUAUUGAGCAACAGCUCUGCUUUCACAGCUUUAUCAAAGUGGUGUGACUAAGUGAACCGCCUUUUACCAGGGAUGAGCCCCAGUUGAAGAUGACAAGGUUCAGCUCCUCCAACUCUCAAUUACUUACAGCCCUAAAUUCGUUCCGCUCAAUUGUGAAAAGCCCCCGCAAUAUUCAACAGGAGGGGAAGAAUUCUGAUCUGUGGAAAGUCAUCAUGUUUGCAGAGAAAGCAAAUUUCCUCCUCUCCCAAUAUGCUGUAUAUAUCAGCCAAAACAAGACUCUUAUACCGAGUGCCAACUGGUAUGAAUUCCAAUCAUUUUAUGUAUUAUAUAUUAAUGUUAUAAAAAUAUGCCCCCCAAUUUUUUAUAACAAGAGAAUUUGUUGUGGCAAUAUCUGACACCACUUCUGAACUGACGUAGAUGUGACAGCCUAAUAAAAACUUGCC
rnacentral:lncRNA from 1 species